UUUGAGUAAAAAGAAUAAUAAGUCUAGCCUGCCCACUGAAGUUUAAAGGGCUGCGGUAUUCUGACUGUACGAAGGUAGCAUAAUAAUUUGUCUUAUAAUUGAAGAAUGGAAUGAAUGGUUGGACAAGGAUAUAGCUGUCUCUUAUAUAUUUAUUAAAAAUUAAUUUUCAGGUAAAAAGGCUUGGAUUAGAUUAAAAGACGAGAAGACCCUAUUGAGCUUAUUUUUAGUUGGGGCGACUAAGGAACAAGUAAAGCUUCCUUAUAAUAAAUUAAAAGUUGUUUGUUGAUCCAAAAAUUUUGAAUUAAGAUCAAGCUACCAUAGGGAUAACAGCGUUAUUUUUUUGGAGAGUUCUUAUCGAAAAAAAAGAUUGCGACCUCGAUGUUGGAUUAAGAUAUAAUAAAGGUUGUAGAAGCUUUUAUGUUUAGUCUGUUCGACUAUUAAAUUC
rnacentral:rRNA from 1 species